GAUGUGGUACUGAGUUGGAGUGCACUGCCAUUCUUUCUGUUUGCACUCUGCUCUCUCUCCUGCGCAGGUGUCCGAAGCUAUUUGUCUUCCUCUCGAUUUAACCAGCGUACCUCUUCAAUACCACGAAUUUUUCAGGAUUUAUUGUGGAGAAGGGGCAUGUGAAGCCGGAUCCUUCCAAGGUGCGGGCGGUGGCUGGGUGGCCGGAUCCAAAGACCCGCAAACAGCUACAGCGGUUUUUAGGAUUUGGUGACUUUUAGAGACGCUUUAUCAGAAAUGACAGUCAGAUUGCUACCCCGUUAACUCGAUCAACCUCCACGAAAGUCGCUGACCUGUGGUCACCUGAGGUAGAGCGAGCGUUUCAGCUCCUAAAAGAAAAAUUUACAUCGGUUCUGGUGUUAGCUCACCCAGACCCGGCACGCCAGUUUGUUGUGGAGGUAGAUGCGUCAGACACCGGGGUGGGAGCCGUGCUGUCCCAACGAGGUAAGAGGGACCAGAAAAUACACCCCUGUGCUUCCAAACUAUGAUGUUGGAAACCGGGAACUGUUAGCAGUCAUCCUGGCGUUGAAGGAGUGGAGGUACUGACUAGAAGGGGCGGAACACCCGGGUGGGCCAGGUGGGCCCUGUUCUUGGAGAUAUUUCGAUUUACUCUCACCUACCGCCUUGGAUCCCGUAACACCAAGCCAGAUGCACUCUCUAGACUCGACAAGGGGGAGGAGGCGGCGGCAAUCCAGAGGAAUUUCAACAUUUUUCCUUCCAACUGUGUGCUAGUGACAAUAACCUGGGAUAUCAAACAUAGAGUUCGAGAUGAUCCCGAUCCUGGUAACGGUCCACCCAAGCGCUUGUAUAUUUCAGAGAUGGUUAGGUCCCAGGUUCUGCAGUGGGGGCAUUCUUCGAAAUAAUCAUGUCAUCUUCAACAACGUUUUUGGUGGCCAGCCAUGUCUCGGGAUGUCCAGAGUUUCAUCACAGCAUGCACAGUCUGUGCACAAAGCAAAUCUUCACAUCAGUCUCCAUCUGGCCUGUUGCAACCAUUGAAGGGUCCCAGCCAUGCCUGGUCGCACACUGCGUUGGAUUACCAUUAUGUCAUUAGGUAAUUCCACCAUUUUAACCAUUGUAGACUGAUUUUCUAAAUCGGUGCAUUUUAUUCCCCUUCCCAAGUUUCCUUCUGCCACAGAUACAGCAGAACUUCUAGUACAACAUUUCAUUCGUCUCCAUGGGAUUCCCCAGGACAUCGUGUCAAACCGAGGCCCGCAAUUCUUAUCACAAGUAUGGAAGGCAUUCUGCAAGUCGUUGGGGGCUUCAACCUCACUAUCCUCUUGUUAUCAUUCCCAAUCCAACGGACAGGCAGAGAGGGCUAAACAGGAUCUCGGGACUGCUCUUUGUUGUGUAACGAGCCGUCACCCUGCUUCUUCGACCGCUUUCCUCCCCUGGAAUAUGCCCUCAAUUCCCUGUCUACCUCUGCCACAGGUACAUAUGUCACCAUUCAUGGUUGCCAUGGUCUAUCAACCUCCUUUAUUCCCUGAACAGGAGGUUGAAGUAGCAGUUCCCUCGGUGCAGGGGAAUAUUCAACUAAUCCAUCAAGUCUGGAGAAUGGCAAGGGAGGUACUCCUGUGGUCUCAAGUCUGGACGAAGACAGCUGCAGACAAGCGUCGGUCUCCUGCCCCUUCGUAUGAGCCAGGCCAAAAGGAGUUUUGGAGCACGUUGCCAUGGAGGGUGAAAAUUUGGUGCCUCAGGAAUUGUCGGGAUUUUUUCACUGCCACGUGGACACUCUUUGUUUGUUAAAUCUUUUGUCACUGUUCACUGCAAACUCCGAAUAGUUCAGAAUAAACUCUGUGCAC